UGUCACACUGGACUGAAAAUUAUCCACUUUGUAAUUAAUAGUGUGACGGACCAGAAUGAGACAAAUCAAAUUAGAUGCCUGCUUCUUUGUAAACAGCUCUGAAAACAGACAAAGAAGUACCUUUCUGGGCACUAAUUACACAAAAUUCACAGAAUAAAUGCAAACCACGCAUGCUUCAUCUCUGAAAAUACUGUCAUUGUGUUAGUGACUAGGAACAGGGAUUGGAUUGAUCACUUAAAAACUUGCAACUACAGGUAACUAUAACAGUCUGACUAAUUUACACACUCUAAAGAUAACUGUAACUACAGCACACAUGAAGUCUAUGUCUUCACUCGUUUUCUUCGAAAUGGCAUCUAACAAUGGAGAUCCUUCAGCUUUCUUGGUCGUCAUUGCUGGCUAGCUACUGUCUCAUAACUAUCAUGUGUCUAGUCCUGUAAACUGAUGCUGGCCCACACCAGCACAGUCAUUCUUAGUUUCAGGCUCCAUUGGGACCCAUGACCGAAUUUAUGUUCGUUCCAAGUUAAAUUAUGUGCUUCGAAAUGGGGUCUCCUCUUUGCUAAAAGGAGAGGUUUGUCUUUCUAAGUAGGCACCAUAUUUGUUGCACUGUAAUUUUUCAUGAGUGCAUCCCCACUCAUGCAGCAUUCAGGUAAGGGCAUGUGUGCAUCCUGGACACCAUAUGUGCCUUGUCACUUUACUACAAUGAAUAAUGCUUAUGCAGAUAUAUAUACAUAGGACAUCUGUCAAUGCAGGCUUCUGCAGCGGAUUAUGCCUUCAUUUAUUUUGCCACUCUGAAAUGGCAGUUAGACAAUUGAAUGGGUGAAGGUCUGAUCACUGCCAAGUUUAAGCCUCUUAUGUUUCUUAAGCAUGUGUUCUCUUUGUCCAGUGGUACAUACAGUUGGAAUUAAAUGAGUCUGGAUGACUUCUGCCUGUUUCCUGCAUAAUCUGGUUACACAUCUACACAUUUAAGGAAUUCUGAAAGCCACAUGUAUUUCACAGACCAGUGUACACCUGUCACAGCUUCCAACAAUGCAGAGAGCUCUGUUCUGGGGUGCUACAGUUUCAAGAAGUGAGCAUCUGCUACAAACACCCAGGUGAUAACCAUGUUGUGGUGCCACAACUACAGCAUGAUUUAAAAUAGUUGUGAUGAAGGCUGUGCUUGAGCUAAUUUUGACUUUAUAACAAGAGAAAUCAAAGGGGUAAAGAGAGCUUGGUUGGUUCCCGACUGGGGCAAGAAAUGUUUCUCUUCUCCAGUGUCCAGACCAGCUGUGGCACCCACCCAGCAUCCUAUCCAAUGGGUACUGGAGCUCUUUUCCUGGUGUUACAGUGGCCAGGGCAUGAAGCUGACAACUUGCCUGCUAUCCAGCAUGUCUUCAAGGCGCAGGGCUUAACUGAUUAAAAAUGGAGAAGUUAAACAAACUCCAGGAAAAAAUCUCUAACUCUUUCUUGAUCAGUUUAGCCCAAAUAAAAUAAAGCCAUUUUGUGCCAAAAAUGAAUCUACCUCUGCUUGAUAAACAACACACAGUCCAUACAUGUGACCAUCAUACCCACAUCUUACAGCGUGAAUUCAUUUCAAAUAAUCAUAUAAUUGCUGAAGCAGACAAAUGAGCAGCAGCUUUCAAAAUUCUAGUUUGCAACGCUCCCAAUGCAACACAGCUGUUCUGUGUGUGUAACAAUUCUCAUUCUGAUAAGCAACAGUUUUCAAAGCCCCCAUCUCGGCCUCCUAUCUAGUCUGUACUGGGGAUAAAUCAGGAGGGGAGUGAAGGUGACCAUUCACCUCCAUCUUGUGCCAUGGUCAAGAAUGGCGGAAAUCCACCUCCAUGCCCCCCAUGUGUCUAUGGCAUAGCGCUUAACUAAUUAAGCAUAUGGUUGUCAUUUUUCUUAAUCAUGCACUGACAGAUCUGAGUGUUCUAAUAAAAUAAUGGACUCGUAGUUUCUGUUUAUAUAACAAUUAUAGAUUUAUGAAUUUAAAAUAAUCAGAAUAUAAUACACUGAUUACAUAACAAUUAUAGAUUUAUUAAUUUAAAACAAUCAGAAUACAAUAUAUUGAUUGCAUAACAAUUAUGGAUUUAUUAAUUUAAACUAAUCAGAAUAGAAUAAAUACAUUCAUUAAACAAAAAUUGUAGAACUCCA